GACAGAGGCCUCGAGCGUUAGGCGGAAUCACUGGGCUUAAAGCGUGUGUAGGCGGGCCCGUAAGUGUCUUGUGAAAUCCCCCGGCUCAACCGGGGAACGGCUGGGCAUACUGCGGGUCUUGGGCCGACUAGGGGCAGCCGGAACAAGCGGUGGAGCGGUGAAAUGCGUAGAUAUCGCUUGGAACGCCGAAGGUGAAAACAGGCUGCUGGGGUCGCGCCGACGCUGAGACACGAAAGCCAGGGGAGCGAACGGG
rnacentral:rRNA from 1 species